GCCUAAUACAUGCAAGUCGAACGAAAAAUAUAGAAGUGCUUGCACAUUUAUAUUUUUAGUGGCGAACGGGUGAGUAAUAUAUAGAUAACCUGCCUUAAAGGGGGGGAUAACAGAGGGAAACCUCUGCUAAUACCGAAUACAAUAACUAGACGCAUGUUUAGUUAUUAAAGGGGGCUCCACCCCCCCGCUCUAAGAGGGGUCUAUAUCGCAUUAGCUAGUUGGAAAGAUAACACCCUACCAAGGCGAUGAUGCGUAUCUGUACUGAGAGGUAGAACAGCCACAUUGGGACUGAGAUACGGCCCAAACUCCUACGGGAGGCAGCAGUAGGGAAUCUUCGGCAAUGGGGGGAACCCUGACCGAGCGAUACCGCGUGAAUGAAGAAAUACUUCGGUAUGUAAAGUUCUUUUAUAGAGGAUGAAUGAUGCGUAUAGGAAAUGAUACGUAAGUGACAGUACUUUAGGAAUAAGCCCCGGCUAACUAUGUGCCAGCAGCCGCGGUAAUACAUAGGGGGCAAGCGUUAUCCGGAUUUAUUGGGCGUAAAGGGUGCGUAGGCGGCCGUUUAAGUUUGAGGUGUAAGUUCAAGGCUCAACCUUGUGAUGCUUCAAAAACUGGAUGGCUUGAGAGAGGUAGAGGCAAGUGGAAUUCCAUGUGUAGCGGUAAAAUGCGUAAAUAUAUGGAGGAACACCAGUGGCGAAGGCGGCUUGCUGGGCCUUAUCUGACGCUGAGGCACGAAAGCGUGGGGAGCAAACAGGAUUAGAUACCCUGGUAGUCCACGCCGUAAGCGAUGAGUACUAAGUGUCGGGAGAACCCGGUGCUGCAGUUAACGCAUUAAGUACUCCGCCUGAGUAGUACGUGCGCAAGCAUAAAACUCAAAGGAAUUGGCGGGACCUCGCACAAGCGGUGGAUCAUGUUGUUUAAUUCGACGAUACGCGAAGAACCUUACCAGGCCUUGACAUACCGAGCGAUGCUAUGGAGACAUAGCGGAGGUUAACUGGGAUACAGGUGGUGCAUGGUUGUCGUCAGCUCGUGUCGUGAGAUGUUGGGUUAAGUCCCGCAACGAGCGCAACUCUUAUCGCUAAUUGCCAUCAUUAAGUUGGGGACUUUAGCGAGACUGCCAGUGACAAACUGGAGGAAGGUGAGAAUGACGUCAAAUCAUCAUGCCCCUUAUGGCCUGGGCUACAAACGUGAUACAAUGGUUGGUACAAAGGGAGGCAACGCCGUGAGGCCAAGCGAACCCCAUAAAACCAAUCUCAGUUCGGAUUGAAGUCUGCAACUCGACUUCAUGAAGUCGGAAUCGCUAGUAAUCGUAGAUCAGAACGCUACGGUGAAUACGUUCUCGAGGUUUGCACAAACCGCCCGUCAA
rnacentral:rRNA from 1 species